GAGGGAUGAUGUUAACUUGCACAAUUUGUGAACGAUUGGGUUGUCACAUACUUCUGAUAUAAAGAUGAGAUAAUGUGUAUUUGAGCUC